rnacentral:rRNA from 1 species
GACGAACGCUGGCGGCGUGCUUAACACAUGCAAGUCGAGCGGUAAGGCCCUUUCGGGGGUACACGAGCGGCGAACGGGUGAGUAACACGUGGGUGACCUGCCCUUAGCUCUGGGAUAAGCCUGGGAAACUGGGUCUAAUACCGGAUAUGACUCCAUGACGCAUGUUGUGGGGUGGAAAGCCUUGUGCGGCUAGGGAUGGGCCCGCGGCCUAUCAGCUUGUUGGUGGGGUGAUGGCCUACCAAGGCGACGACGGGUAGCCGGCCUGAGAGGGCGACCGGCCACACUGGGACUGAGACACAGCCCAGACUCCUACGGGAGGCAGCAGUGGGGAAUCUUGCGCAAUGGGCGAAAGCCUGACGCAGCGACGCCGCGUGAGGGAUGAC